rnacentral:rRNA from 1 species
GGAAGGGGUGUAUUUAUUAGAUAAAAAACCAAUGCCCUUCGGGGCUCCUUGGUGAUUCAUAAUAACUUAACGAAUCGCAUGGCCUUGCGCCGGCGAUGGUUCAUUCAAAUUUCUUCCCUAUCAACUUUCGAUGUUUGGGUAGUGGCCAAACAUGGUUGCAACGGGUAACGGAGGGUUAGGGCUCGACCCCGGAGAAGGAGCCUGAGAAACGGCUACUACAUCCAAGGAAGGCAGCAGGCGCGCAAAUUACCCAAUCCCGACACGGGGAGGUAGUGACAAUAAAUACUGAUACAGGGCUCUUUUGGGUCUUGUAAUUGGAAUGAGUACAAUUUAAAUCCCUUAACGAGGAACAAUUGGAGGGCAAGUCUGGUGCCAGCAGCCGCGGUAAUUCCAGCUCCAAUAGCGUAUAUUAAAGUUGUUGUGGUUAAAAAGCUCGUAGUUGAACCUUGGGCCUGGCUGGCCGGUCCGCCUCACCGCGUGUACUGGUCCGGCCGGGCCUUUCCCUCUGUGGAACCCCAUGCCCUUCACUGGGUGUGGCGGGGAACCAGGACUUUUAC